AAAUAUCUGACUUCUCCUAAAAUUUCACAAAGAAACUCAUCUUAUAUAGAGAGAUAUGAUAGAGUCCUUAUCUAGGUCAAACACCUAGUCAAGGCUUAUCCAAACAUGGCAAGUUAAGGGACGCCCAACUCUUGAGCACCUCCUCCAUAUUUUCGUGCAUGGAUUACCAGAAAAGGGUGUACAAUAUAAAUCCUAAAAGCCACAAAAAUUUUAAAAAAAAUUUGGAUAAAUUUGGUGCAAAAUUGAAAGAGUUUUGGAUUUCUAAAACUCUAUCUCAUAGAAUUCGAAAUCCAAACUUAUUCCUUUUAGAUUUGAUCCAAACCACCUUCCAUGUAAGAAAGAAGAGAAAAGACCUUUUGUGAACGUGGGAGAGAUCUGGGAGAGGGCUUUUGUCGCAUAAAAUAAGUGGAGAUUGGCAUUGAAUUAAGAGAGAGGGCGUGGAGAAGGCUUAUGUGGUGCAAGGUGGAAUCCUAGUCUUACUAGGAUUCUGUCUUAUGACUUGUUUUAAUUUGGUUUCCCAAACCAAAUCAAAUCAAAAUUAGAUCAACCCAAUUAAAAUAGGUCUUAACCCAAUUAAGAACCUAAUUUAAUCAGAUUAAAUUAGAUUUAAAUAUGAUUUAAUUUUUUAAUGAAAUUAGAAAUUAGAUUGACCC
rnacentral:lncRNA from 1 species